rfam:Triticum aestivum genome assembly, contig: Triticum_aestivum_CS42_TGACv1_scaffold_641084_T_4AL-0.202501_2AL-0.177896
AGCUGAUUUGGUAGCCAAGGAUGACUUGCCUACACUACAUGCAUAUAUGUGUAAACUUUGCUAUAUAUAGCUCUGUUUUUUUCCUUUUGUAUGGAAAAAAUAGAGCUAUUCGGAGUUUAUAUAGGCAUGUCCUCCUUGGCUAUUCGGAGUAGCUCC